CAGCAUGGAAGAAGCUUGCUUCUUCUGAUGGCGACCGGCGCACGGGUGCGUAACGCGUAUCAGACCUGCCUCAUACUCGGGGAUAGCCUUGCGAAAGUAAGAUUAAUACCCGAUGUUGUUAUGUUACCGCAUGGUGAUAUAACCAAAGAUUUAUCGGUAUGAGAUGGUGAUGCGUCCGAUUAGGUAGUAGGCGGGGUAACGGCCCACCUAGCCUUCGAUCGGUAGGGGUUCUGAGAGGAAGGUCCCCCACACUGGAACUGAGACACGGUCCAGACUCCUACGGGAGGCAGCAGUGAGGAAUAUUGGUCAAUGGACGAAAGUCUGAACCAGCCAAGUAGCGUGCAGGAUGACGGCCCUCUGGGUUGUAAACUGCUUUUAGUUGGGAAUAAAAAAGAGGACGUGUCCUCUAUUGUAUGUACCUUCAGAAAAAGGACCGGCUAAUUCCGUGCCAGCAGCCGCGGUAAUACGGAAGGUCCAGGCGUUAUCCGGAUUUAUUGGGUUUAAAGGGAGCGUAGGCGGAUUAUUAAGUCAGUGGUGAAAGACGGUGGCUCAACCAUCGUUAGCCAUUGAAACUGGUAGUCUUGAGUGCAGACAGGGAUGCUGGAACUCGUGGUGUAGCGGUGAAAUGCUUAGAUAUCACGAUGAACUCCGAUCGCGAAGGCAGGUGUCCGGGCUGCAACUGACGCUGAGGCUCGAAAGUGUGGGUAUCAAACAGGAUUAGAUACCCUGGUAGUCCACACAGUAAACGAUGUAUACUCGCGGUUUGCGAUACAAUGUAAGCCGCCAAGCGAAAGC
rnacentral:rRNA from 1 species